CAACGAGCGCAACCCUCGACCUUAGUUGCCAGCAUUCAGUUGGGCACGUCUAAGGUUGACUGCCGGCUAAAGUCGAGAAGGUGGGGAUGACGUCAAAUCAUCAUGCCCCUUAUGACCUGGGCUACACACGUGCUACAAUGGGCGGUACAAAGGGUCGCGAACCCGCGAGGGGGAGCCAAUCCCAAAAAGCCGCUCUCAGUUCGGAUUGCAGGCUGCAACUCGCCUGCAUGAAGCCGGAAUCGCUAGUAAUCGCGGAUCAGCAUGCCGCGGUGAAUACGUUCCCGGGCCUU
rnacentral:rRNA from 1 species